rnacentral:rRNA from 1 species
CAGCAGCAGCCACGGUAAUACAGAGGGUGCGAGCGUUAAUCGGAUUUACUGGGCGUAAAGCGUGCGUAGGCGGCUUCUUAAGUCGGAUGUGAAAUCCCUGAGCUUAACUUAGGAAUUGCAUUCGAUACUGGGAAGCUAGAGUAUGGGAGAGGAUGGUAAAAUUCCAGGUGUAGCGGUGAAAUGCGUAGAGAUCUGGAGGAAUACCGAUGGCGAAGGCAGCCAUCUGGCCUAAUACUGACGCUGAGGUACGAAAGCAUGGGGAGCAAACAGGAUUAGAUACCCCUGUAGUCCCUGUCUCUUAUAC